UGGGGCGUCGCCAAGUGGUAAGGCAACGGGUUUUGGUCCCGCUAUUCGGAGGUUCGAAUCCUUCCGUCCCAGA
rnacentral:tRNA from 1 species